CAGCAGCCGCGGUAAAACGUAGGUGGCAAGCGUUGUCCGGAAUUAUUGGGCGUAAAGGGCUCGCAGGCGGUUUCUUAAGUCUGAUGUGAAAGCCCCCGGCUCAACCGGGGAGGGUCAUUGGAAACUGGGAAACUUGAGUGCAGAAGAGGAGAGUGGAAUUCCACGUGUAGCGGUGAAAUGCGUAGAGAUGUGGAGGAACACCAGUGGCGAAGGCGACUCUCUGGUCUGUAACUGACGCUGAGGAGCGAAAGCGUUGGGAGCGAGCAGGAUUAGAUACCCCGGUAGUCCCUGUCUCUUAUAC
rnacentral:rRNA from 1 species